rnacentral:rRNA from 1 species
AUACGGAGGAUCCGAGCGUUAUCCGGAUUUAUUGGGUUUAAAGGGAGCGUAGGCGGACGCUUAAGUCAGUUGUGAAAGUUUGCGGCUCGACCGUAAAAUUGCAGUUGAUACUGGGUGUCUUGAGUACAGUAGAGGCAGGCGGAAUUUCUUGUGUUAGGGUUGAAUGCAUAGAUAUGACGAAGAACACCGAUUGCGUAGGCAGCUGACCAGACCGCAAAUGACGCUCAUGCACGAAAGUGCGGGGAUCGAACAGGAUUAGAUACCCUGGUAGUCCGCACAGUAAACGAUGAAUACUUGUUUUCGGCGAUAUAAUGUCGGAGGCAAAGCGAAAGCGAUAAGUAUUCCACCUGGGGAGUACGCCGGCAACGGUGAAACUCAAAUGAAUUGACGGGG